GCCAGUCUUUUCCUUAUAGCGGUCAUUUUGGUUUAAAAACUUUACACCGCUCCGAGUUCACAUUUUCUUCGAUUCAGCCGCCAUUUUGAAAUAGAGCCUGCAAACAUCAAAGCUAGCGGAAUUCAAUUUUGCCGCGAUCUGAUUGGAAGGAUUUCCUGUCCAAUCAUAAUCUCAUGUUACUUUCCUCUCGAAUACAGUGCGAUGCGAAAACAACCGAUUUAUACGUACAUAACAUUUCACACGGAAGUCGCAGUUUCUUUUGGAAGACCUCAGCUGAGAAUAGCCUCUAAGCUGACUGAAAAUCGCAGCAAAUGAAUCAGUCGUGCCUUCGUUUGCAAGGUCUAUAACUGCAACAUGGAUCCAAACACCAUCAGAUGUCCAGGGUGUGGUCAUGAUGUUAUGAAAGGGGCAGCACUGGCAUGUCAUUUCCAACAGAGUUCCACCAACCAAUACCAGGACAAUACAGACAACAUGCCACAAUCACAUUGGCUUUGCAUGGAAUGUAAAUACAUUGUAGAAACACAUUAUGGCAGUGUGAAUGAUGUCACUGCAGAGGAUGCGUACACCUUAUUGUACAGUGUCAGGGUCAAGGGAGGUCGCAGAUGUUGCCACUGCUGUGUUGUGUUGUGAAAAUUCAGCUCACUUCUCCAGAUCUGCAUAAUGAUAUUUUUUACUUCUUUUCUAUAUAGUUAGAACUUGUCUAAAUGGAACAUUCACCAGGAGCCUUAUUUCAAAUUGUAUAAAUUGCCUGAACUAGUUUAUGCUUCUAGUAUGAAUGGUGAAGGGAAAAUUUUUUGCAUCGCAAGUUUAAUUUGAGCAACUCUAGUCCAGUCAGUACAUGAUCUGUCUUAUACAGCUCAUUCUACCUGUAGUCUUGCUAGUAGAUGAGAAACUGGACAAGGAAAACCCACUCACGCUGUAUGUGUAUGCUCUUGAGGAUUGACAAAACAGAUUCCCCUAGAGGAAAAUGUGCUUUUUUUUUUACAAAGAAACAUAAUUUAAUGUUGAAACCAUUUAGAAAUGACAAUUUUUCUUUGUUCUAAUUCUAGAACAUAAUUGUUGUAAAUAAAACAUGUUUCACACCUA